UCGUUAACACAUUCAAUUUUGUACCAUUUGAGUAAUUGACUGGUAUGCCCGGUAUGUGAACUUCCUAUCUUCCUGGUUACUAACACAAUCAAAGAUCAACACAACCAAAACCCGUGAAUCUUUCCAACUUCUAUUCUUCAUCUCGGGUCAACAUGCCGUGAUGUGACAUAUACUACAGAAAGCACGAGAAUGUUGUUCAUCAAAACUGUCAAACAAAUAAAUGCUUUUCCUGGAAAUUAAUUAACACAAAGAUACAUGAGCGAUUCAAGUUGAUGAUUUCUCCUGUGAUAUGGAAGUGCGAAUUGAGGAUGUAGAGGGAUAGGUACGGAACAACAGCAUUUUAUUGAAGAAACUUGUGAAAGGUUUCCACGAAUUUAAACAAAAACAUAUGCUUAAAUGUUAAACUGCGAUGGUCGGAUGGUAACGAUGCUAUUAGGUGUGAAAAAGUAAAUUGGCACAAUAAGGAGUUGUGAAGUGUACAAAUAUGAUGGGAAGCACAAUGAUGCGUUAGGUAACGUUCAGGUCAAGAUAUUCGGGGCCUUUUCGGAGAUUGGAAACAAUGGUGUCAUGUAUCCACCAAUGUUUGAAUGACGAAACUAGUAAUUAUGGACGCUGUCAACAAGGCAUACGAUGCU